rnacentral:lncRNA from 1 species
UUUUUUUUUUCUUUUUUUUUGUCUUUACACUUGUGAAUAGACUUGUGGCUCCUUUGUUUGGAUCUGGCCUUGCAAGAGCCCAUGUCUGAGGAGUCAGUCCACCUACAACUCCUGCAAUGCAGGAGUACAGACAAUGACAUUUCAUUCUGUGGUAAGUGCCAAAAGUUUGGUCUCUUUAUUCAUAGAGGUUUUAUUUUUUUCUUAUCCCUUUUUUAUUUUUGUUUUCAAAAUCUUUUUUGUCUAUGUCUUAGUAAAAGUUCUCCUGACCAAGUGUAUUCAAUCACAAAAACAUCCUCAGAGAAAAACAGCACUUACUCACCUCCAGAGCACCCAGUGCAAUGUUGCACAAGCUGCUGAAAUAAACAUCUAAAGUAAUUUUUCACUGGGUAAACGGAUGGCUGGACCAGAACCACAGAGCAGCAAAGCACACUUGAGAUUUAGUCUCCAUCCUUCUGUCAAGGACAGAGCGUUGGCAGCUCCACCAGCCCAGCCCAUGCCUCUCCACCCAACCUCUGCUCAAUAACUUCGGUCUCCAGACUGGUGCCAGGUACACUUUGCAUGGACUAAGUGGCUACCAAGAGAAAUUUUGCUCCUGGGCUUGUAUUCAUCACUCUUUAGAUAAAAAGGGGGGCAGGUUGCUCAUAUCUGUUCUGACAAGGUCUGACAAUGCCCUGACAAGGUCUGAGUGACUGUUAAAAAUGCUUCUUAUAUGGGAGUGGGAAAAGUGAAGGUUUGCAGAUUGCAUUGUUGUGGUAGUUUUUUUUUCCCAAAUAAAUGAGUCACUAGACACUUGGCAAGUAUCUGUCUGCAAAUCAUUGGGAAGGAGAAGCAGACACUGUAGCCUAUUUUUAUCUGUGUAAGAGUCCCAACAGGGAUAUUAGCAAAAAUGAAGAUAAGGAAUGCUAUGCUGCCAAGCGCAUGGUACUGCCACAGGCCCAAUAUCUGGACCUGGACUCACAUUUUGGCAAACCCUGCAAGCUCCCAACAGAGACAGUAGAGGAGAGCAGGAGUGACUGGUUGCCAUUUCCAGUGCUACAGGUAAUUUGUAUCCUACUAAAAAAAACAAGUAAUCUAUUCCUUGUGUUUAAUUCAACUUCCAGAUCUCAGUAAAUCACACAAAACUGGACUGCUCCCCCAAGAGAGCAGGUCACUCUUUGGUACCAAGUAAGAGCAUUUGUUUUCUACUUGGUUUCACUGUGGGCGUAAGCAAUGUAUCUCUACAGAAGUAAAAUAUAAAAUAUAAAAGUGAGUUGUGGGUUUCCGUAACCAAAAGGCCUCUAGGUAGGUGGAGAAGCAGCUGGCACAGAUACCAGUGCAGACAGAUAAGAGUUUAGGAGUGGUAUGUAUCUAUGACAUUUAAUCCACCCACUUUAUUUAUUGCACACCGUGCAAUGUGUAGGUGGCAUGAGAUCCAUUCCCCCACCUACUCCACGGUAUGGUGUGUGGGACUCCUACUUCCCCAUGCUGCUCUGAGACUGAACCAGGAGCAGAUCUGCAAGACCUCCCUCCUGGAAAGAUGGUGUGCCCGGAGGACUGGCUCAGGGCAGGCAAGUUCUUUGGUCAGCUUCCUGUUUUCCUAACACAGGGUGUCUUUGCAGUGCACCAAGAGUGUAUUUUGCUUGCAAGCGUCACCUAGAGAUGGGGAAUCUCAGUGCUGUGGAAUGCCUCAAAACAAAUCAAUCAUUUAAAAGGAGCUGUUUCCCCAGCUGCUCUCCAACAGUCUGUGGUGAGAUGUCCCCCACAGCUAAAUAGACUGUCAGUCCUACAGCCUUAAUCCAGGGUGUGAUUAUCCAUCGCUCUCCGGGUGCCCAGCAGCCCACGCUGCCCAAUGUCACUGGUGCAGUACAGCCCCGGGCAGGUGCCUGGUGGGAGCUGUUGCUCCCUGAGCUGCUGGCAGUCAGAGGUCUGAGUGGCACUGAGGGCUCACUGUGGUCUUUGCUGUUCUCAAUGACACAGAGAAAGAGAAGGAGCAAAAGAAAGACAACAUCUUCCUUUUAUCUCUCUCAUAAGAAAGGCAGGCAGGACUGUGCCAUGGAGCCAGCAGCAUAUCCCUUACGGCUCCUGACAAAGUCCUGACAGUUCCUGUGAUUUGCAUCUCAACAGACAUAAGGAAUUGGCCCUUCAUUCUUUAGCUACUCUUGUUAGGUAACACUUAAAUAGACAAACUGCAAAAUUAUUAAGGCAAAAUGCUUAAAUACCACCACAGGGAGCAAUAUCUCUCAUGGAAGCGGAAUCUGAGUACAUUUUCAAAAAUGUGUGGUAUAGGAGUUUUCUAAUAUAUCUUUUAGACUUGAAAAUGCACUGACAAAUCAAUGUCUUUUUAUUUGGUGAAGGAAGCAAGAAUGAGUGUGUUUUCCCGGGAUGUGUUAUACAUGUUUUGUUUGAAAACUUAAACAGAACAAUUAAACUAUAUUUUAAUUUGGCA